CUGGCAUCAUUGCAAGCUACAUGUGAUUUCUUCAGGUGCCUCAGUACUCAACGUUGACUGUUUCCAGGACCAUGAGUCUGACGAGGAUAAGUACCCAGCAAAUCGUUUAGGACAGUGAGUAAUGAGGCAAAUGACAAGGACAUGUUCUACCUUUCCCAUCAGAUCUCUUCUUUUUCUCUUGAAUGGAGACAAUCUUGCCUGCAAAUAUAGAAGCUCAACUCCAAGCUGUUAUAAUGCAAAUUCAGUCCCCCAAUACUGCAUUCAUUUGGGAGCAGCCAUGAUCCACAAG
rnacentral:lncRNA from 1 species